UACGUAGGGACCGAGCGUUGUCCGGAUUCAUUGGGCGUAAAGAGCUCGUAGGCGGCUGUUCAAGUCGAACGUGAAAACUCGAGGCUCAACCUCGAGCCUGCAUUCGAUACUGGGCGGCUAGAGUCUGGUAGGGGGAUCUGGAAUUCUGGUGUAGCGGUGGAAUGCGCAGAUAUCAGGAGGAACACCGGAGGCGAAGGCGGCCACUGGGUCUUUCUGAACAGCGUGAGGGACGGAAAGG
rnacentral:rRNA from 1 species